rfam:Oryza glaberrima chromosome 2 Oglab02_0210_1, whole genome shotgun sequence.
CCAAUGAGCCGCCGGAUCCCCUAGUGAGGAGGCCGGGACCGCCGGAUCCGGUGACCCCGGUCUCCUCGCCGGCGGAUCCGGCGCCCAGA